CUGAGUCCGGAACUCCUCUUCCCUCACGGCCACGGACGGUUGCGUUCCAGCAGGACGGGACUCGGCCUUCGCUGGGCUCCGCUGCUCUGUGUCCUCCUUCCCUCACAUCCCUUUCCCUCCCUUCCCCUCCCCUCCUCUCCUCUCCGGCGCUGUUGGUCUCUCCGAGCGGCGACGUUGGCGCUGUGUCACCUCCCGGGCUGCUGCUCCCGGCACAUCCCGGGACGGCGCUCAGCCCUGCGGGCAGCUCUGGGCACAGACGGAGCCGUUGGAGCCGCCGGCAGGAGAACGGCCGACUCUUCCCAGCAGAGCAGAUGCAUAUUUCUCUCAAUUUCUGGGCUCACAUAUGGUUGGAGUGACUUACUAAGGCCUUCAGACAUCACUUUACUUCUCACAGAUAUCCCCCAAUCCUGCUUCCCAGACUUACGUACUGCCAACUGCUGCAUCCCAGACCACUCGCACUUCAGAAGCCUUCCUGGAUCUUCCAGUGCUUGUUAGGAUCUUCCUGAAUUCUCCAGUUUAUGAUGCAAUGAGGCAUAUGCUGAAAUCUCAAGUUCCAUAGAAUCGAGGUAGGAAAAGAAGAGAUGAUUGAAAGUAUUGGAAGGGAACAGAAGAAGCACAAGUAGUUUGAAAAUAUUGAAGAUGUGUUAAAGAAAAAAACAUACUAAUGGAAAACAACAAAGCACAAGCUUAGAAUGGGACACAUUAGAAGUCACCUGGGGAGAGAGAUGGAAUCAUCAUGAUUACCAGGAAACAUCCACAGUAACAGUUUCCAAAUGGAAUCCUUCAGUGCCUGGUUCCUCACACUGUAGAUGAGGGGGUUCACUGCUGGAGGCACCACCGAGUACAGAAUUGCCACCGCCACAUCCAUUGCUGGGGAGGAGAUGGACUGGGGCUUCAGGUAGGUAAAGAAGCCAGUGCUGAUGAACACAGACACCACGGCCAGGUGAGGGAGGCACGUGGAAAAGGCUUUGUGCCAUCCCUUGUCAUGGUUUUGUGAUUUUUGGCUUUCGGUAUUCCACAUCAUAACAUCAUGUGGGGCACUGGGACUUUAAC